rnacentral:rRNA from 1 species
GACGAACGCUGGCGGCGUGCUUAGCACAUGCAAGUCGAACGGUAAGGCCCUUCGGGGUACACGAGUGGCGAACGGGUGAGUAACACGUGGGUGAUCUGCCCUGCACUUCGGGAUAAGCCUGGGAAACUGGGUCUAAUACCGGAUAGGACCACUGCCUGCAUGGGGGGUGGUGGAAAGCUGUUGCGGUGUGGGAUGGGCCCGCGGCCUAUCAGCUUGUUGGUGGGGUGAUGGCCUACCAAGGCGACGACGGGUAGCCGGCCUGAGAGGGUGACCGGCCACACUGGGACUGAGAUACGGCCCAGACUCCUACGGGAGGCAGCAGUGGGGAAUAUUGCACAAUGGGCGCAAGCCUGAUGCAGCGACGCCGCGUGAGGGAUGACGGCCUUCGGGUUGUAAACCUCUUUCAGCACCGACGAAGCGCAAGUGACGGUAGGUGCAGAAGAAGGACCGGCCAACUACGUGCCAGCAGCCGCCGUAA